rnacentral:rRNA from 1 species
CGGGAUUGCCCCAGUAACGGCGAGUGAAGCGGCAGCAGCUCAAAUUUGAAAUCCGACCCCACCCGGGGUCCGAGUUGUAAUUUGUAGAGGAUGCUUCGGGUGGAUGGUCCCGCCUAAGUCCCUUGGAACAGGGUGUCAUAGAGGGUGAGAAUCCCGUCUGUGGUGGGUACCUGACCCCGUCAGAAGCUCCUUCGACGAGUCGAGUUGUUUGGGAUUGCAGCUCUAAACGGGUGGUAAAUUUCAUCUAAAGCUAAAUACCGGCCGGAGACCGAUAGCGCACAAGUAGAGUGAUCGAAAGAUGAAAAGCACUUUGGAAAGAGAGUCAAACAGUAUGUGAAAUUGUUGAAAGGGAAGCGCCUGCGACCAGACCUGUCUGCGGGCGAUCACCCGCCGUUCUCGGCGGGGUACUCGUCCGUCAGCAGGCCAGCGUCGGUUUCGGCGGCCGGACAAAGCCCCCGGGAACUGUACCUACCCUCCGGGGAAGGCUUAUAGCCCGGGGUGAAAUACGACCAGCCGGGACCGAGGACCGCGCUUCGGCUAGGACGCUGGCGUAAUGGCCGUAGGCGGCCCGUCUUGAAACACGGACCAAGGAGUCUAACAUCUAUGCGAGUGUUUGGGCGUCAAACCCACGCGCGCAAUGAAAGUGAACGGAGGUGGGAACCCUUCCGGGCGCACCAUCGACCGAUCCAGAUGUCUUCGGAUGGAUUUGAGUAUGAGCAUAGCCGUUAGGACCCGAAAGACGGUGAACUACACAUGGAUAGGGUGAAGCCAGAGGAAACUCUGGUGGAGGCUCGCAGCGGUUCUGACGUGCAAAUCGAUCGUCAAAUCAGUGUGUAGGGGCGAAAGACUAAUCGAACCGUCUGGUAGCUGGUUUCGGCCGAAGUUUCCCUCAGGAUAGCAGUAACGUGUUCAGUUUUAUGAGGUAAAGCGAAUGAUUAGAGGCCUUGGGGGUGUAACGCCCUUAACCUAUUCUCAAACUUUAAAUAUGUAAGAAGUCCUUGUUGCUUGGUUGAACGUGGACAUUCGAAUGCACCGUUACUAGUGGGCCAUUUUUGGUAAGCAGAACCGGCGAUGCGGGAUGAACCGAACGUGAGGUUAAGGUGCCGGAAUGCACGCUCAUCAGACACCACAAAAAGUGUUAGUUCAUCCAGACAGCCGGACGGUGGCCAUGGAAGUCGGAACCCGCUAAGGAGUGUGUAACAACCCACCGGCCGAAUGAACUAGCCUUGAAAAUGGAUGGCGCUCAAGCGUGCUACCCAUACCUCACCGCCAGGGUAGAAGCGAUGCCCUGGCGAGUAGGCCGACGUGGAGGUCCGUGACGAAGC